GAUGAACGCUGGCGGCGUGCCUAAUACAUGCAAGUCGAGCGAACAGACGAGGAGCUUGCUCCUCUGACGUUAGCGGCGGACGGGUGAGUAACACGUGGAUAACCUACCUAUAAGACUGGGAUAACUUCGGGAAACCGGAGCUAAUACCGGAUAAUAUAUUGAACCGCAUGGUUCAAUAGUGAAAGACGGUUUUGCUGUCACUUAUAGAUGGAUCCGCGCCGCAUUAGCUAGUUGGUAAGGUAACGGCUUACCAAGGCAACGAUGCGUAGCCGACCUGAGAGGGGGAUAGGCCACACUGGAACUGAGACACGGACCAGACUCCUACGGGAGGCAGCAGUAGGGAAUCUUCCGCAAUGGGCGAAAGCCUGACGGAGCAACGCCGCGUGAGUGAUGAAGGUCUUCGGAUCGUAAAACUCUGUUAUUAGGGAAGAACAAAUGUGUAAGUAACUAUGCACGUCUUGACGGUACCUAAUCAGAAAGCCACGGCUAACUACGUG
rnacentral:rRNA from 1 species